AUAUGCCUUUACUACCGAUAACCGUUUGAAAAAUGCUAUGGCACCAAAGGCUAAGCUAAGUACGCUGUUGGUUAGGUGGGCCCAAGCAUGAGGGCGGACAGAGUGGGCGGAUCAGCUUAGAUAAUGGUGGUCUGUGAUGGGGUACGCAAUUUAGAAGCGAAGUAGCUGAUUUCAAACUGUCAAGAACAGUCUCUAUCGAGGUUAAAGUAACCCGUACCGCAAACCGACACAGGUGGGUGAGGCUAGUCUCC
rnacentral:rRNA from 1 species